GAGAAGCAGCAAGAUAAACCUAUUAAAAUUGCUUAUUUGAAGGAAAUUUUGUUUAUUCAGCACAAAAAUUUACUACAGUUUGAAGAACUGAAAAAAAAACAGAGCAAACGAGACUAUAAGACAAGAAUCAACCUCGUUAUUAACUAAUAAAAUAGCAGACAUUUGCAAAUUUGCAAAAAGUCUACCGUUAAAAAAUGAGGAAGAUUUACAGAAAA
rnacentral:lncRNA from 13 species